AGCUGAGGCACAUGCCUUGGGAGCUAAGUGGUUGCUGCCCUUGACCACUGUGAAGACUGGUGUGGGAAGGGUCGUUUUGGAUGCACUUGAGCAGGGGUCCCCAACCCCUGAGCCAUGGAGCCGCAAGGAGCCACACAGCAGGAGGUGGGAACAUCCAGUUGCAGGAAAACAAGCUUAACACGCCCACUGAUUCUACAUUAUGGGUCUCCCUCUGUUGUCCAAGGCUGGAGUGUAGUAGUGCUAUCGCAGCUGACUGCAGCCUCAACCUUCCAGGCUGAAGCGAUCCUCCCACCUCAACCUCCCACGUGGCUGAGACUACAGGUGCUUGCCACUAUGCCCAACUAACAUUUGGAAUUUUCGUAUACGUGGAUUCUAGAGGGGUGACAGCGAAACGUGGGACCAUCCAGUUGCAGGAAAACAAGCUUGACACGCCCACUAAUUCUACAUUAUGCUCCUACCUCCCGGCAGCCUCUCCAGGCCCAGAACUUUCUCCAGUCAGCCUCUACAGACCAAGCUCAUGACUCACAAUGGCCUAUUUAGGCCCAUACCCUACGUCACGGCAGCCUCCGCAGAUGAGGCUACUGCCUCACAACAGCCUCCACAGGCACAGCUCCAUCGUUACAAUGGCCUCUUUAGACCCAGCUCCUGCCUCCCAGCCUUCUCUCCAGGCCCUGAACUUUCUCAAGUCGACCUCACCAGGCCCAGCUCAUGCUUCUUUGCAGCCUCUCCAGGCCCAGCUCCUGCAUCUUGGUGG
rnacentral:lncRNA from 1 species